CGAAUUCAAAGUAGCGGAAGAAAUAUUAUACUAUCGGUGCGUGAUUUCUAUGAAAGAGAAAGAGAAAAUAAUGCUCCUUUAAUUCCAUUUGGAAAUGUUCGUCAACGAGUUGCCGCCACGACGGGAAUAUCUGAAAAAACCGUAAGCACCAUAACUAAAGAACGCGAAGUUGCUGCAUCCACUUUUCCAAAAAUUUCUAAGCCCAUAAAAAAAAAUAUUUUGGAUGAUUUUGAUCUGUGUGCAGUUCGAAAUGAGCUCCGUCAGAAAGGAGGUACCGACUUUGGGGAAACUCUUAGCAGAGUUAAAAAUUGAUAUAAAUUUUCGUGGAGGUCGUACUACAUUAUGGAAAAUUAUAUCUACCUACGAAAAAAUGCUGUGCGAAACUCUAUUUCACUAUUACUCGUGAGAAAGUGAAAUAUCGUGAAAAACGUUUGAUAGCUAUGAAUGACAGGUAGCCUAAAACGCAAAUAGAUUACUUUAUUUCCGAUUAAGAUAAUUAUCCGGAUGAAUAUAUUGUGGCUAUUACUGUGUAACUAACUAAUACAACAAGAAAUGACAGCUUGCAAUUAAUACACUAAACGUGCUUUUUUAAGAUACAAAGCAGCAACUCAUAAAUGGGUUGGUAAUUCUUUGGUACUAGUUAAAUACGUUUGAUAAGCUUACACAUAUUUUUUGAGUUACUUUCAUAUGAGUUAUUUCUAUAUUUGUAAUUAUUAUCAUUUCGUAUCUUACUGAACAGUUUAUUAAAUUGGAAUAACGAACUUCGCUCCUGACGGAAAUCUCCCGAUCACUUAAUUGUUUUUUAUUUUAAAAUAAUAUUAUUAGAUAGGCAUAUUCUUAAAUAUAUAUAAAGGUAUAGUCUUACAUUAAAUAACAAAGCGAACGGAAAUUAAUAUAAUAAGAUAGGUAUAAAUAAUAUUAUUAGAUAGGUAUAUUUUUUAUCAUCGGAAUCCGAAUUUAAAACUAUUAAAAUAACUUGUAUUAUUUCUACUCUUCUACCCGAUAUUAUUCAUUCACUGCAUAAAAACCAUUAACUUCAAUCAUUCAUGCUGUUAUGAACAAUUAUUGCCAUAUGAGGUAAAUUGCCGAGUUAUCAUAUUAGUUUUAUAUAAAAGCGAUAGCCGCCACCCGGUGCGGAGAGUUGGCUACACUCGGUCUUGUGAUUAAGUUCUGUAUAAAAUUGUGUGUGGAAAUUAAAGUAAUUCGGGAGUCAAAAA